rnacentral:lncRNA from 1 species
AUCCUGGCAUGUGGUUAUAAGGCAUUCUCCCAGAGAAAGGUCCACCAUUUAGAGCCUGAACUCCUACUCUACCAGGACCAGAAAAUAACUUCAUUCUGCAAUUGAAAGAAUCACAGCAAGCUCUCAUUGUAUCAAGAGUUUGCAGCGUCCUCAGUACCAUCUUGGAUGUAGACCGUACCGUAACCAGACAUGGAACCUGCUGGUGCCUUGAACUAUAUCCCAGCUUCUGUAACUGUGAAAAUAUCCCUUGCAAACUUAAUGAUUAUCUAACAAAUACUCUAACAACAUGGAUGAUAGUUCAUCAUGGACAAAAGAAAUCCAUUCCAAGGCUAGACACCAUAGGACUAUCCAAAAGGAACAAAUGAGAGAACUACUCAUCGGUGAAGGAUGACUGGAGGUGCCAGGAAGUAAUCUUCAGUGAUUAAAUAGGAGAGCCUCUUCUAACACAGCAGGCAAACUGGCGGUCAUACUCUUCUCUAAAUGAGCCAACACUCCCUAGGAGACCUCAGUAGAACUCCCUCUUCUCUGCUGGAAAGGUUUUGCCUCCCCAGGACCCAUCCCUCACCAUCCAUGCAUGACAUUCUGGCCUCAAGUAUCCACUCCUCAAAGGAAAAGAAAUUGGAGAGAUUCGCCUUGAAAAUAAGCCUUCAUAUUAGUGACUUCCUUCUUUUAAAGGACAUCGAACAAGUUUUGGUAACUUGUUAUUCGAGAGGAAUGUCCAAGAGGACUGGGAUUUAAUAAUUAUGCAAGGAGAAGAAAUGUGGAUUUGUGUUGACAAUAGACAACGGGUGAUAACUUCUUCAUGAAGCCUGGGCAAUUCAAGGCUGCAACUUAAAUGAAAGUGUGGACAAGAGUGAUCCACUCACAUUCCUGGAGUGAUAACAAAGCAACUUGUCUGCUUCAUCUUGGAGGCUAUGUAAGAAAAAAUAUCUCCUGGAAAAUUCGUAAUUUUAGAUCUUCCUUCACAUUGGGUCGAAGAUGUUGUUUGCUGGUUUAAUAAUAGGGUAUCUAGGGGAGGAGGAAAGUACUGAUAUCUAGCAUCUGCUAAUUUCUGUGGUGACAAUAACAUUACUAUGGCUGAUUUCAGGCUACCAAUGUGAUAUCAUGAACUAGGAAUUGGGGAGAGAUGUGGACCGUCAGCUGACACAAGCUAGUGUGAGCUAGCUUCAUCCAGCACCCUACUGAUUUAAAGAGUGAACUCAUAUUACUUGAAUAAUCCAGCAAUAAAAAGAUCAUAGAAGGGUUAUAUAUUCAGUAAAAAGGUGAACUAGAAAAAAUAAACAACCCAUUGGAACAUUUAAUAUAUUUAUUGCCUAUUUAUAAUUUGAUUCUGCAACUUAAAAUACAGAGGUCCUUUCUAAAAAUGUUUACACAGGCACCUGGCCUCACCUAGUUUUCCAGGUCAGCUGUAUGCCAUUCUCAAAGUUCAGGAAACCCUAACAAGAAUUGCUUUAGGACUUAUCUCUGAUGCAUCUGACAAAGCAAAUACAAUAUUGGUCUGAAGAAGAAACUCUCCAGCUAGUUUGCACAGAAAACAUCCAGUGAAAAAUAAUAAGUUCAUAAUACAAAAAUUAAAACAUGCAAUGAAACAAAAUAUAUGUCAACAUUAGCAGAAACAAAAAUAAGCAGUAUAAACCUUAAACAACUGUAUAAAUUUUGUGUGUGUGUUUGUCUCUAUGUUUGUGUGUGGAGGCAUAUCUGUGUGAUUCCAUGUCUUUAAUAAUGGUAGAACCAUUUGUGCUUUCAAAAUCUUCUGAAUGAGUUUAAGGCUAUAUUUUUGUCAAAGAAGUUCUGGAUUUCACCCAGUUUUCAAAUUUAUUUUCACAGAACUUCCUGAAAACUUUCUUAUUACUUCAGUUUUAUUGUAGGUAUAAUUAUGUUUUACUGUUCAUUUCUGUGACUACUUAUGUCUCACUCCUUUUUUUAUCAUAUUUUCAAUGCUCUUAGGAUGUAUCUAUUUACUGAGACUUUUCAAA